rnacentral:lncRNA from 1 species
GGGAGUUCGCUUCUCAGUUUCAAAGUAAUUAACUUUUCAAAACACUAGUUUAUAUUGAUAAGGAAUUAAUACAGGAAUCCAAAGAGCAAAAAAAAUAUAUAGGUCACCGUGCUUGUUUUCGAGAUAUGAGUCAUUGAAAUUUUGGCGGGAAAAUAUUCUCUCUUGACUUUUCAUAGCUUUAUCAUUGACAAGUUAAAGUUCUCAAAAACUGUUUAAAAGUAAUUAAAAUUUUAUAAGACUUUUACAGAUGGCUUAUCAUUAUACAUGUUAAAGAAUUUCAAAAAGAAAAAUGGGGGUCACCGGGCAAAUUUUUUCAAGGCAUUCAAAUGGAUAAAACCAGAGGAUUCCGAAAAUCUGACAAAAAAAUCCAAAACAUGACAAGCCAGCUUCCUUAAACGAGAUUUGAUACAU